rnacentral:tRNA from 1 species
GGCUCCAUCGUCUAAUGGUCAGGACAUUGCUCUCUCAAGGCAAAAACAGGGGUUCGACUCCCCUUGGAGCUGCCA